rnacentral:rRNA from 1 species
UCAGGACGAACGCUGGCGGCGUGCUUAACACAUGCAAGUCAAGGAGAACAGAUUUCUUCGGAGGUCUUAGUAAACUGGCGAACGGGUGAGUAACACGUAGGUAACCUGCCCUUGAAUCUGGGAUAACCUUGCUAAAGCGGGGCUAAUACCGGUUAUAAUCCUUUUUUCGUAUGUUAGAGGGAUGAAAGUUGCCUUUUGGUAACGUUCAAGGAUGGACCUGCGUCCCAUUAGCUAGUUGGUGAGGUAACGGCUCACCAAGGCAACGAUGGGUAGCCGGCCUGAGAGGGUGACCGGCCACACUGGGACUGAGAUACGGCCCAGACUCCUACGGGAGGCAGCAGUGAGGAAUAUUGCGCAAUGGCCGAAAGGCUGACGCAGCAACGCCGCGUGGGUGAUGACGCUCCAAGGAGUGUAAAGCCCUGUUAGGAGGGAAGAACGACAUUGGCGUGAAUAAUGUCAAUGCAUGACGGUACCUCCAGAGAAAGCCCCGGCUAACUCCGUGCCAGCAGCCGCGGUAAUACGGGGGGGGCAAGCGUUGUCCGGAAUUAUUGGGCGUAAAGGGCGCGUAGGCGGAAUAAUAAGUCAGAGGUGAAAACCAUGGGCUUAACUUAUGGCUUGCCUUUGAAACUGUUAUUCUUGAGUGCGGAAGAGGGAAGUGGAAUUCCUGGUGUAGCGGUGAAAUGCGUAGAUAUCAGGAAGAACACCGGUAGCGAAGGCGGCUUCCUGGUCCGUAACUGACGCUGAGGCGCGAAAGCGUGGGGAGCAAACAGGAUUAGAUACCCUGGUAGUCCACGCCGUAAACGAUGGGCACUAGGUGUUGGUUCACGAUGAGUGGAUCAGUGCCGAAGCUAACGCAUUAAGUGCCCCGUCUGGGGAGUACGA